rnacentral:rRNA from 1 species
AGUGAACGCUGGCGGUAGGCCUAACACAUGCAAGUCGAACGGCAGCACAGUAAGAGCUUGCUCUUACGGGUGGCGAGUGGCGGACGGGUGAGGAAUACAUCGGAAUCUACUUUUUCGUGGGGGAUAACGUAGGGAAACUUACGCUAAUACCGCAUACGACCUACGGGUGAAAGCAGGGGAUCUUCGGACCUUGCGCGAUUGAAUGAGCCGAUGUCGGAUUAGCUAGUUGGCGGGGUAAAGGCCCACCAAGGCGACGAUCCGUAGCUGGUCUGAGAGGAUGAUCAGCCACACGGGAACUGAGACACGGUCCAGACUCCUACGGGAGGCAGCAGUGGGGAAUAUUGGACAAUGGGCGCAAGCCUGAUCCAGCCAUACCGCGUGGGUGAAGAAGGCCUUCGGGUUGUAAAGCCCUUUUGUUGGGAAAGAAAAGCAGCAGGUUAAGACCCCGCUGUUCUGACGGUACCCAAAGAAUAAGCACCGGCUAACUUCGUG